CACUUAGCCAAAUCAGAAAACAUAACCCUUAGCCACUGAAAACAUAACACUCGAUCAUCACUACCCUUAGCUUUUCCCUUCUUCGCGCUACUCAUCACCCCCAAAUCAGUGAAAAGGAUUGCCAUCACCAGUCACCACUCACGGCGUCACCACUCACUCGUAUUCAUCACUCACAACUCACCACACCGUCACUCACGCACUCUCAUCCUCCCUCAACUCACACACACAAACCAGUUCGAAGGUGUGUAUAAUUUUGAUAGUGAUGAUGAACGGGAAUGGCUAAAUGAAAUAGAGAUGGCCACAAGCAGAACUAGAUCGCUAAUUUGGAAGUUUCACAAAUUAGGAAGAGAGCAGUUGACAGGAUUAAUAAUGUUAUUGGAAUUUCCCAUUUCUUCCAGAUACAACGAUUUGAUGCUCAGAAUAUUUUCCAAACACCCAGAUUUGUUCCCUGAAGAGUUUGAGCAUUUUGAUGAUUUCACUAUAACUUCUUCAUGGGAAAGGUUCAUUUCUAAAAUUGAGGUAAUUUGUCGUCUCUGGAUGGCGGAUGGUCCUAACAAUUUAUUGGAGAAAGGUGCAAUUCCCUUGGAGAAUUUCAAAAACUCAUACAAGAUCAAAUCUGAACUGCAGUAUGAUGUGAAAAGUUAUUGCAUAUAUAGAGCAAAUCUUUUGACUGAAAUUUUACUUUUUAUGAUUUGCAGUUAUGUUUUGGUGUAAAAAAAACUUUUGGAUGCUGGUUUCAAUCGUAAUCAUUCCAGUGAAGUUUCUUCUCCAGUUGCUGAGUACCUUCCAGGUUAUAUGGACUAUCAAGUAGGAAUGAGACCACAGAUCCCUGUUGAAAGAAAAUGGGCCCUCGGACUUCAGGGUUAUCGGUCACAAAUCCAGAAGGGUUGAAAGAAUCAGAUUGUGAAUCUUCUUUGUCUUUUUCAUGGAGGAGUUGCUACUGCUACUGCUACCUCUCACUCUCACUGUUCUUCUUCUUGUGUUGUGUCCUUCUCUUUCUGUAACUGUAAUAGUACUUAUUGGAGGAAACAUAACAAGAAUGAGAAGAAGGCAUAGCAAGGUUGAGGGUGGGAGAGAACACUAAAAAAAACACCAUUGCCAUUUUAGUAUUAUGAACUUAUGAUCAGUAUCAAUAUUUUUCUCUUAUUCUCUCACCAAUAUAUGGCAGUUGAGUUGUGUGUGAAACUCUUAUUCUCUCACCGAUUUAGAUUUCUUUCAGCAAAAGAAUAAAUAUAUCUAGUAUGCUUUUUAAUUCUGGUUUAUUUUCAUAUUAUGCUAGGGGGAUGAUGCUGAUCUUAUUAAGCAGAUAGUCAAAUAUGUUCUGCAAAUAAAGAAUUGUCUUUAGCGAAUCCAAGGCUUGAGGAGAGGAAUCUUGUGAAUUUUAUUGAGAAUUAUUAUAUAAAAAUUGAUAUAUGUAUAGUUAACUAAUGACUUU